UAACCCAGCAAAUUUGCACCGUUGGGCCAACAUUGGCAUGUGAUUGAAACCGUUGGACCAUCGCUGGCUCAGCUUUGGCCCAACGUUCCAGGGAUGUCGAGCCCCCCUAUUCGCCAGGGGGCAAUAGUGAGCCGGUGUCGUUACAACGGAGACCGCUCACAAACGCCGCUACCAUGGACAGCGCCCAGACGCGGGCAGGCCCCAUUCGUUGUCGAAUCCUGCACCUCAGUACAUCAUCUAGUCGUCGUUAUUUCUUUAUUCACCAGGCGACGUUUCGUUGACGCUCACGACGAUUAACCCAAACGUAUUCCAUAUGUAGUGCUGCGUUAAACCAAAAUGACCAAUACCACCGGCUCCCUGCUCAAAACUGCAUUGGCUGCAGGGGGUGUAUGGCUGCUCCUCUGGGAUGGCGUUGCUGAGCCACUGGUGACAAGUUCAGGUUCAUAUGACGGAGCCAGUAUCUUCAAUACGUGCUGCGGUUAAUUUACAAUUUGCUGUAUUCCUGACAUUGGCUGAAGUUUAUAAGCAUCCAGAAUUGAAAAGCGAUUGGGCUGCCGGGCUUACUCUCCGUGAUCGGGUGAGGAGCUCGGUAAUCUGGGAGAGCCUCAGAAUCGAGUUGUUGCUCCUCCGGUUCGAGAGGAGCCAGUUGAAGUGGUUCGGGCACCUGGUAAGGAUUUCCCCCUGUAGACUCCUCCUGGAACAUUACCGGGAAUGUCCCACCGGGAGAAGAUGCCGGGGCCGGCCCAGGACAUGCUGGUGGGGCUAUGUCGUUCAGCAGGCCUGGGAACGCCUGGGAAUUCUCCAGGAAGAGCUGGCGUCUGUCACCAGGGAAAGGAGGUGUGGACUGCCCUACUCAACAUGCUGACGCCACGACCCUCACCAGGACAUCCGGACUGGGAAACGAACGAACAUUGUGUUGCAAAUUAAUUUAAUACUGCCCCGGCCCUCCGCUGGCAAUCCUGCAGGGCACGCGGGUGUCACCGCUUGGACACGCGGCGCCGCGUCACGCGCGGCGUGCGCUGCACGCGCCCAGCACGCACCACGCCCAGCGGCGGAGAAGGCGAGGAGGGUGAGGAGGCGGGGAGACACUGACGGAGGCCGGGCUAUGGUUAGGGAUGGGCCUACGGGUAGGGCAGGGGUCUUCUCAAGACUGCUUCGUGACGUGAGUUAUGAAGAGCCAACGUCUCGUAUUCAGCACGUGCAUUGCGGCGCUUAAAAAAAAAUUGUUUUAACUGAAUCUGGAAAAAAAUGUCUCUUCUUGUUAUUUUGUUUGCCGACCCCUGGGCUAGGGCUCUGGAUGGGGCUAGAGGGGUAGGCCUGUGGAUAGGGCUAGGGUCAUGGUCUGAUUUGCUUAUGUGACCGGUGUAGUGUGGUUAGCGUUGCAAGUCUGGUUGGCUCGUGUUUGUUAGGGUGAGAGACAAGAGUUAGGUCAGAUCGACUAGUGUGGUCAGUGUUCCGGUAAUGGAUAGGGUCAAACUUUUCCAGUGUUAUUAUGGUAAGGGAUAUGCCUAUAAGGUCUGGUUAGUGCGGUUAGGGUCAGUGCGUAUGGCUGCCGUCUGAUUGGCUAGUACUGAUGAUUGGCAAUGUUCUCGGCCUUGGUCAAAAAUCCGAAGCCAAAAAGACCGACAAAAUGCUACCUUUAGAGUCUCUUCUCGCUGGGAAUGCAUCCACAGUUUCAACACUGCUAACGCUCAUUGAUGUUUCCGCUGCAAUUAAUUGUAAAUGGCACGUACGGCGAGCAGCGAGAUCCAGGCUUUCCACUCGCUUAAUAUUGGCAUCCGUAAAAAUCACAAAAAAGCACUCGGCUCUGACCGGCGGUACCCAAUAUCCAGCACACCGUCGUUGAACGUGUCGCACACCAAUCAGGCACUGCCGAUUGUCUGAACUGCGUCCAAACUGUGAAUCCCGGCUGGCUCGUUGCCUUUUACGAGCAAGCAAUAUCACCGCAUCUGCUCUCCAUUCCGCGAUUGGGGCAACCCCUCGCCACUCGUCAUCCUUUCCCACACGCGACGUCGGUGCUCCAAGGAACCUCUGCCGCCCUGUGCCACUUCUCUCGAAUGCCCUUGUGCGCCAGUUAUCACUCCAGCUUUCAGGACGCAUCAACUACCAAGGUGCCUCGUGUGGCUCAUCGCCCCACUCUGUCGCAAGAUCUCCGCGAGGACGCAGCGUGGAGGCGUUUCACUGCUCUCUGGAAAACCACACCACCACCGCCGUUCACGGGCAGGCGGGACGCGGGCAGAGAUCGGCAUGCCUGCUUGUAUGAAUGCGCUUAUUGGUCCUUACAUAAUCACCGCCUAAACUGCGCAUGAUGAAAUAUGAAUUCCAAUUGCACAAUACAAUAAGAGAACACAUUGCAUGUGCGGUGUCUGCAGAUGGGUGUCAUAAAAACCGCACGGAAUUACAUUUGUCGGUAUUAAUUCACACAUUUGUAGCAUUUGAUAAUGAUAACAAUAACAUUGGUCUUUUUAUUUGCCCUUAAAUUUAUUCUGAAGGAAUGCCUGGCUCCCACCAUGGGAAUAUGGAAUUUUCAUCAACAACUCAAUGUUAAACAACAGAUGAUUUGGUUUGGCUUUUUACAGAGGCAGGAUUGCCAUUUUGCAUUUUGAGCACCACGAGCCAAGAAACGAUGCAUCUGCACCACACAUCAUUUGGGCCACACUACAGCCAGCACUUGGAGCACCUUUGUUCAUAUACGUAUGAAUACACACAUCAGAAAGUGUAUUCACUGAUUGGAAAUAUCAUUUAGUGCUUUGGCCCAUUGGUCCACUCGACGUAGGUAUUUUGAAUCGGCACUUGUUUCACGGCUACGCUGUGCAUGGAGGCAGGGUGAUUGGAUCACAGAGAGGUGAUCUCGUGCUAACAGGUGGCCAGCAUUUAAUUAAUAACACUGAAAUAAUAACCUAAUUCAAUCACACAUUUAAAUUGCAUUUUAUUAUACUUCUAUGGGGGUGGAACAGUGUGCUUACCACUGUGCCACCGCUGACCCGAUUCUGUUAUUUUACAAUAUAAUAUAAUUAUUAUAAAAGACUGUAUUCAGCAAUCAUUAUUACUGAAUAAUUAUUACUGAAUACUUCUAUCAGUGUUCUCCCAUGUGGUGAAACUUUCUAUAAAUACAUAGAUACACACACGUAUAAUAACACAUAUUAUUCGUAUAUUUUAAGCAUAUGGAGAUAUACGGAGCUAUAAUGCAACAGCAACUUUAUAACUGCUAAUUCAAUUAUGACUGUGUAGCGUGUGUUUCCGUGAGAAUGGUUAUAACCUUUGCUCUAUUUAUGGGCGUCAUUCAUGAUGUGACAUUGCCGCUGGGCUGUUCUGCUGUGGUAUUUGUGGCUUAAUUCGGGAACCCGCGCAUGAUUCGUGACAGCGCGUCUCCAUAAUAUAUGCCUCAUGUGAAACACUUGAAUACUUGCAGGUUUACCACUUGGCCAGCAUCCCUGGCUGGCUGGUCACCCAGUUGAUCACUCAGCCAGCUACUGCAUCAUUUACCCAUCCAGCUACCCAGUCAUUCAGCUAGCCAUUUAAUCCAACCAGCCAGUUGUUUAAUUACUCAACCAGAUGUUUAGCCAACCAGCCACCCAUCCACUGAGCCAGCCAGCAGGCCACUUAGCAAAUUGCACAGCCAGUCAAAUCACUCAGUCAGCCACUCAGUAAACUAUACAGCCACCAGCCAUGUAGCUCACAAUAGGAGUAUUAUUACCGGUGACUGUGAACAAGACAUGUUAGAUGACAUAUCUUCAAUUGCAUAUAGUUUGUAUGAAUGGGAUUGCUGGAUACUAUUCCACCUAUAUAUUUGCAUGUUGAAAUAGCAAUUUUGUAUCAGCAUAUUUAACGUUGUCAUGAAAAAUAGCUAAGUAAUAGAUAGGUAGUGAAACAAAAUGGAACUUAGAGGAGGAAUGCCUUAUGUAUUCUUUGGAUACUCGAAAAUAAGAUUAAAACAAUAUUAACUUCAACAGAAAUAUUUCCACAAUUAUCUACAUUCACACUUAAUGCUUUGUGAUCUCAGCCAGAGUCUGUUUAAGGGAGCACACAGAGAUGACAGGUUGGAGAUCCCAGGAGUAGAUGACACCAGAUGGUUCUUCAACAUUGGAGCUGGUACGGAAAACUAAAAAUAUAAAUAUAUGAACCGUCGAAAAACAAUUUAACACACGUUGCAAGUAUUUUUAUUGUAUUGUAAUGGUUCUCACAUAUCUGACAAAUACUGAUCCUUUAUAUUGCCAAUAUCUUGCCUUAUCAAUGAACAAAGCCCAAUUACUAACUUUUCCCAAUAAGACAUGGGUGAACUCGAAUUACCUAUUCUCCUGCAUCCAGUAGUGGAUUGAGAAAGCAUACAAAGUAUUAUUACAGUAUUCUUAUGUGCGUGUGUGCCUCCACUUUUCGCCCCACAAUGCCCUUUGGUACGGCGUCUUGAGACGCAUUUUGCUUUGAUAAGCCACGCGAAUCCAAACUGCAUUGCAGCUGGAUUAAUUACUAUUAUUAUUAUAAUUUUAGCAGUAUAUCAAUCACGCGGACAGACGGGCGUGCAGCGGUCGCAGGAGACGGACGGGGUGAUGUGGGUUUGCGUGUAUUACGAUUUUUAGCUCCAGGUGAGCGGCAAAGGUGGGUGUGAGGAAACCAGCCACCUGUCACGCCGCACACAGAGCCGCGGGGGUGGCGUCUCGCGAACACGGAGUCUAACCGGGCACGCCUCAUGCUUCAGCGACAUCUGAUGCAAUCGUGCAACAGGAUUGAGCUAUUGCACGAUGCGACAAACCGCCCGUCUCGCUUCGGUAAAUCACCCACCGCAACUGUCACGCUCGGCCCUUCCCAGCUGCCGAAGUGAACCUGGUGACACCGUCUCAUUUCACGUGUUUUUUUUAUUUAUGUAUAUGUUAGUAUCAUCAUCAUCAUCCUCAUCACUAUCAUCACCGUUGUCGUCAUCAUCAUAGUCACCCGGAUUUCUGAUUCACUUCCCCACCAUCGUUUGCGUAGUAAUAAUUGGUCCUCUGUGCUGAAAAGCGUCGAGGACAGUCUCAAGACUCAUUUGAAUGAGGGUCCUGCCAUGUGAUGUUUGGACAAUUUAAUAGUGAGUAUCAUUUAAUCGCGAGUAUCAUCAGUCGUCCAGAGUGCCACUUUGUGGCACAGCAGCAGUUUUUGUCUGGAUAGACUGUCCACCGGCCAUGGGAAUGUGGGAUUUACAUUAUUGGCUCAGGGCCUCCUAUGGUGAUGAUUGCCAACCUUGUUGUGUUUCAGCAAGAAGGCCUCUCGAGCUUUGACUUCAUCACGUGGCAAAGACACCACAGUGCCCAGGGAAACCCCACACACAUGAGGAGAUAGCACUCAGAAGUCCGCAGAGACGCGUCAUACAUCUACUUGCUAUACUGGCAUGUACUGGGCAACUCAUUGGUGUCUCAAGAUAGAUGAUGACCUCUUCAUGAUCCACCAAGCUCUCCUCCAAAGUACCGGAUCGCGGCUGUGCGUCACCAUUGCUGCCUGCGACAGUGACCUUGCUUCUCUAUUAGUCUGUUACAUGACC